AAUAGCGUAUAUUAAAGUUGUUGCAGUUAAAAGCUCGUAGUUGAAUUUCGGGGUUAGUAGGUUGGUCAUGCCUCUGGUAUGUACUGGUCUCACUGAUUCCUCCUUCCUGAUGAGCCAUAAUGCCAUUAAUUUGGUGUUGCGGGGAAUUUGGACUGUUACUUUGAAAAAUUAGAGUGUUUAAAGCAAGCUAACGCUUGAAUACAUUAGCAUGGAAUAAUGAAAUAGGACGUUCGAUCCUAUUUUGUUGGUUUCUAGGAUUGACGUAAUGAUUAAUAGGGAUAGUUGGGGGCAUUAGUAUUCAAUUGUCAGAGGUGAAAUUCUUGGAUUUAUUGAAGACUAACUACUGCGAAAGCAUUUGCCAAGGAUGUUUUCAUUAAUCAAGAACGAAAGUUAGGGGGAUCGAAGACGAUCAGAUACCGUCGUAGUCUUAACCAUAAACUAUGCCGACUAGGGAUCGGAUGAUGUUAAUUUUUUAAUGACUCAUUCGGCGCCUUACG
rnacentral:rRNA from 1 species